CUCCUGUGGGUUCGGCGACCGUCGCGCGGCGGCUAUGGGGGCGCGGCUGGGCCGGCAGGCCGGGCCCGACGCUGGCUCCGAGGCCGGGGCGGCGGCCGGCUGCAGGCCUGCGCCCUACGAGCGCCGGGUGCGGUGGCUCCGCGAGAUCCAGUCCACGCUCGGCGAGCGGCGGCCGGAGCGCGCCCGGCAGCUGCUGCGCCUCCUGCGCCAGGCGAGAGAAGGAGCCGUCCGCCCCGGGGCUGGCGGCCAGGGAGAGUCCGGGGGUCUGGGAGGCGCGGGGCUAUGCGUUGUGGGCCUGUAUCGGCCGGGAGGCGAGGCGGAGCUGGUCUCUGGCGCGCGCAGGCGAGUUCCGAGGGCGCGACAGGCUGCAGCGCGCGGCGUCUUGCGUGGGCGAGAGGGCGACCGCCUGGAGUGCGGGCUGGGUGAGGUCGGCGGACCGUGUGUGGAGGAGGGGGCCGCUGAGUGUGUCAGGGUCUCUGGGGUUUGAGAGGGGUUGUGUGUGUUGAGGGUGGCCCGGUAGCCUGGAGCUAAGAGCCCAAAUUCAGGCCCUGGCAAGAUGGGAGGGGCCCGGGAGGAGUGGCAAGUGAGGUCAAAUCAUCUUGUAUUGAGAGAUAAUGGAAGAGGGUAGCUUCCCCCUCUUCCAGGAUCCGGGAGGCAGUGGACCCUGGAGAGAGGACCCAGGGCUGGUCUACGGAUGCAGCCUCACCCCAGGACACCAUGGCAGCCCACAGAGAGCCACCACAUGCGUCACCAGUUAUCCAACAGGCAGCUCAUGCCCUUAGAGUACACACCACCAGCAUCUGUGCAUCACAACACUCGUUCCCGUGGUGGCUCUGCUCCUACACACACCAGGACCUGGGCCUUGAGAGGACCCUCCUUCCUGAUAUCCUCUACAGAGAUGUGGCCUUCCUCAACCUGGUCGACCCCAUCUCCCAUGACCUGCUUGUGAACCUGGCCCGGGACCUGCAGUGCCCCAAGAAGGUCUCCAUCCUGUACAGACACCCUUGGGGACGGGUGCUCACUGCUUUCCCCCACAACAGCUGGGGUCAUAAGCAAGGCCCUCCUCAUUGCUGGGGUGGAGUUUGCCACCUGCAGCCUCCACCCUACAGCUGCCCAGAACCCCACUCUGAUGGCACCUGCAGAUGUCCUGCCAUGAGCAUCGACACAGCCCCAGGAUGUGUGGCUGUGACCAGCCACUGGACCCAGACUCCUAGUCACAGUGAGUCCCCAACCAAAACAAGGGUAUCCGCUCUGGGCCCUGCCAGCUCUGAAUGCCCAGGUCUGUGCACAGUCGGCCCCUAGGACUCUGCGCCUAGCCCACAGCCAUCACAGGAACGGCCAUGGCUUGCAGCUGCUGUGUGUGCUGCCUGCUCCUGGGGCUGUUCACAGAGGGACUGGAUAAAGGAUGCAGUGGAGCAUGCUCAGUGCCAGCUUUGUGGGCCGCACACCUCAGAUUCCGCCCUGAACUGGGCCUCUGCAGGAGCCCAGUUAGGACUAAGAGAGAGCCAGGUGAUGGUGCUGUAAAACAUUACAUCCCCCAGCCCUGUCAGCCCAGACCCAGACCCCGCAGGCGCAGUCUCGCUUGGAGAGUGAGAGGAAGAAGAACAUGCUGACCUGGCUUGUUCCUACUCCCUGGAAUUGGCGUCAGUGGACCACGGCUCCCUCGAGGGGCCUGGUCUGGCCUCCUCCCCCUGUGGCAAGUCCCCGAAGGGUGCUGAGGGUGGGCAGGCAGCCGGCUGAUAGCCCGAGACGCUGGCCCUGGGCCUGAGGACAGGGAACAAGGGCCCAUUGUCUGGGCUUCCUCCCGCCGGGCACUGCGGACUGGACCAGCCUGUCCAGCUCCCAGAGGGCAGCCUCCCCUGGCUCUGUGCCAGGCCACAGCUGGGUUGGGGGGUGGGAGGGGGAGGCCCUGGUGGGCAACUCGGUGAUGCAUGGUGCACGGCCGUACUCAUACACACACUUGGCUGCCCGGGCCCCUCUCCCCAAGGCCCUGAGGUGGGCAGGAGGGGCUCAGAUUCACCAUGGUGACACUGCCCUCCCACAGGACUACGAGCUCUGGAAGUCCUCGGACAAGAUCUGCCGACAACUCAUCUACCACCUCACCCCUCACUCGAAGCAGCAGCAAGGGUCCAGCCUGCGCCAGAGGAAGACCCAGAGCUGCCUCAAGAGCAGCCUCCAGAAGACUCUGCUGGCAGGGGAGACUGUGGACCUCUCAGGCAUCCCGCUGUCGACACAGGACGUGCAACACAUCACACGCUACCUGAGCACCCAUGGUGCUGUACUGGCAGUGCUGGACCUGAGCUUCACCGGGCUGAGUGAUGAGCUGCUGCACCUGCUGCUGCCCAGCCUGUGGGCGCUGCCCCGCCUCACCCAGCUCCUGCUCAACGGCAACCGACUGACACGGGCCACUGCCCACAAGCUCACUGAUGCCAUCAAGGACACCACCAAGUUCCCUGCAUUGGCCUGGGUGGACCUGGGCAACAAUGUGGAUGUGGCUUCCCUGCCCCAGCCCCUGCUGGUCGGCCUGCGCCGGCGGCUGAGCCAGCGCACCUCACUCCCCACCAUCUACGAGGGCCUGGACCUUGAGCCUGAGGGCGGUGCGGCUGGGGCCACCACCCCUGCCUCCACCUGGCACUCCACAGCUGCUGGGCUGGGACCCGAGCCCCAGGCCUGCUGCGCCAGGUGACCCACCACCCACCUGGCUCAUUGCUACUGACUUGUGAUGCUCUCAAGCACAUGAUAGUGGGCGAUGAAGGUUGAGGAGGACUCACAGGCCCCCAGAGAUCCAGUGCAAAUGCUCAGCCUGAGAUUAAGGGGACAGAAGGAGAAUGGACUCAUAGGUGGCCAGGUGGCCAGCCCCAGCUAGAGGCUCAGCCUUCUCUCAGUGGGAGGGGCCCCAGCACCCACAGGGUGGACCCCGCAAUAAAGAGUGACACCCAC
rnacentral:sRNA from 1 species